AAAAUGACUCUCGGCAACGGAUAUCUCGGCUCUCGCAUCGAUGAAGAACGUAGCGAAAUGCGAUACUUGGUGUGAAUUGCAGAAUCCCGUGAACCAUCGAGUCUUUGAACGCAAGUUGCGCCCAAAGCCUUCUGGUUGAGGGCACGUCUGCCUGGGU
rnacentral:rRNA from 2 species